UAAUUGUAUUAUAAAUCAAAAUCAAAACAAAUUGAAUUAUAAUUUGGAAAAAAAUUUUAUCGAAACCAAAACCGGAAUCGGAUAUAUAUGUGUUGAAAACCACAUGUCCACAUGUCAUCAAUUAAUCAGACAAGUUCAAUUGAUUAGAACAGAUGAAAAAAAAGAAUAUAAUAUAAUCAAAGAUGAAAAGUAUAAAAAGAAGAAAAUCCUGUGACAAGUUUUUUUUGUUGUUGUUGUUGUCACGGAGAUAAACUUUUUUUUUUUUUGGCUGUUUGAUAAACAGUUUGAUUUCAGUUCCGUUGCAUCUCUAUUGCAAUCAUUUAAUAUUACUCAUCAUCAUCAUACCUGUGUUCAGGUGUAUAUAAUGCAUGAUGAUAAGCAAUUUGUUUACAUUUGUCAUCGAAAAUUAUAAUUGAAAAAUUAAAUUUUGAAAAAAAAAACUUCAUCAAGUGUCGACAUCUGAUGGUCGAAAAUCGAACACACACACACACAAACACACCUUUACGCUAACAUUUGUCUGGUUCGAUUAUUGUUUUGUUAAAUGAUUUGAUGAUUUGGUGAUAAAUUUCUAUGCCAUAAAUUACGUAUACGACGUUCAAAGAAAUAAAUUGGUCUACGAAUAAACCAUGGUAAUAUCCAUAAUAUACGGCGAUUAUUAUUAUUGUUAUUACGAUUAUUAUUAUUACCCGAAUCUGUCAUAUUAUUGAUGAUAUUGUAAUAAUUAUCUGGAUAUUGUCGGAAAUGAUUUUGUCCCGGUGGUAUUGGUGUUUGAUAAUUCGAGUUACGAUUGUUAUUGUUGUUUGAUGGAAAUUGAAACAUUAUAUCAGCAGCAGGCUGUUGUUGUUGAGCCAAACCACCACCAACAAAGCAACAAAUGCAAUAAUAAUAAUAAUAAACGGUUAUAAAUGUGAACCAUACGAUUGAUUCUUUGAUACCGGCCAUGCUGUAUUGUUGGUAUUUGACAUAUAUUAUGCGAAUGACAUCUAUAUAUAUUGAUUUCGGAAACAGCGGUAUCACCAUGGGACACUACCCCCAUUGAACAGUAUACCGGAACAAAUUCCAAACUAAUCAAUCAAAUCAAUCAGAAUCAAAUGAUGAUCAAAAAAAAUAUGUGUGGAUACAGGCGAUUGUUCAAGCUGUCUAAAUAAUUGCAAAUUUAUAAUUGAAACAAAAAAAAAUUCAAUUAACAUUCAAGGCUAGAUCCACAAAAAAAAAUGAUUGCCAUAAGCAGAAGCGAAAAAAAUUCCUAUUUAAACAUGACGAUCUUCUGAUUAGAAAAACUCAAUCAAUCAAUCAAUUGUCAAAUUGUUGGUCAAUCAAUCAAUCUAAAUAUUUUUCUCCACGAACAAUGAUGAUGAUGAAUGGCCAAUCAACAUGGCUAUACAUCAUGUUGAUGAUGACGAUGAUGAUGAUGAUGGCCACAACGACCAUAUCGUUUACCAUUAAUGAUGCUGAUAAUGCCAUGAUUGAUGAUCCAUUCAUCAUGAUAAUGGAUCAACCAUUUUUGGAACAAAAUCGAUUAAAAUCAAUGUAUCUUCAAGAUGGUAAUGAUGACUAUGGAAAUGAAGAGAGUAAUGGUGGUAGCGGUGGUGAUGAUGGAAGAAGAAGAAGAAGAAGAAGACGGCCAAAAGAAGGAAGAAGACGAAUGAGAAAUGGUGGUGGUUGUCGUUGUGAAAAUAACAACAACAACAACGGCAAUAUUCCUGAAAUGGGUGAAUUCGAUGACAAUAUGAUGAUGAAUAGUGAAUAAACCAAACAUCGUACAUUGCUAACAAAUCAAAAAAAUUUGCAAAACUUAUUAAAUCAAAUUUUUCAAUAUUAUAA